rnacentral:piRNA from 1 species
UGAAAAUAAUUACAGGUGACA